rnacentral:rRNA from 1 species
GGUUACAGCCAUACCACCAUGAACGUGCCUGAUCCUGGAAGCUAAGCAGGGCCAGGCCUGGUUAGUACUUUGGAUGGAAAAACCGAGGUCCCAGGGCAAACCA